rnacentral:rRNA from 1 species
CAUGAGUUUGAUCCUGGCUCAGAUUGAACGCUGGCGGCAGGCCUAACACAUGCAAGUCGAGCGGCAGCGGGAAAGUAGCUUGCUACUUUUGCCGGCGAGCGGCGGACGGGUGAGUAAUGCCUGGGGAUCUGCCCAGUCGAGGGGGAUAACUACUGGAAACGGUAGCUAAUACCGCAUACGCCCUACGGGGGAAAGCAGGGGACCUUCGGGCCUUGCGCGAUUGGAUGAACCCAGGUGGGAUUAGCUAGUAGGUGGGGUAACGGCUCACCAAGGCGACGAUCCCUAGCUGGUCUGAGAGGAUGAUCAGCCACACUGGAACUGAGACACGGUCAGACUCCUACGGGAGCAGCAGUGGGGAAUAUGCACAAGUGGGGGAAACCCUGAUGCAGCCAUGCCGCGUGU